AAUAUAAUUAUAUAAUAAUUAUUUUAAAUAUUAAAAAAUUCAAACAUGUUUAUUAAUAUUAUUUUUAAAUUAUUUAUCGUUGUUUAAAGAAUAAAUUUAUCAUAAUUUUAAAAUAAUUUACAGAAUGUUAUAAAUUAUUAAUAAAAUUAAAUUUACUUUAUAUUGAAUAUUUGUUUAUUGUUAAAUAUUUUUUAGAAUUUCUUUUUGAUUUAUUUUUUCCAUCGACACUACUAAAAAGGAAAGCCCUCUAAAUACUUACCUUAUUUUGUAAUUUCGAUAUAUCAUUUAAUUCAUCGAUCCCACUAUAAUAGGAAAGUACCAUUGAAUACUAAUUGCAAGGGAAAACAUAAUUUAAUGACCAAUUAACAUCACUUUCCAAAUGACUUACAUAAUAUUAUUAAUAACUAUUUAUGGUAACUAAUUGUCGAAAGUAUGGUAUAUAAAUCCAUUUUAUUAAUUCAAAUAAAUAUUUUGGAUUCCAAAUGACUUACAUAAUAUUAUUAAUAACUAUUUAUGGUAACUAAUUGUCGAAAGUAUGGUAUAUAAAGUCAUUUUAUCAAUUCAAGUAAAUAUUUUGGUUUAUUAUUUUAUGUAGUCUAUAUUAGAAUAUAAAGUCAUUUUAUCAAAUCAAAUAAUUUAUUUUAAUUCAUGGAUCCUCUAUAAAAGGAAAGUAACAUUGAAUACUGAUUGAAAAGGAAAAAAUAAUUUAAUCCCUCUAUUAACAUUACUUGCGCAACAAUAUUAGUUAAUACAUGUAAUAAUUAGUUUCCUUAUUACAAAUGGAAAGAAUUCUCUUGAUUUUGUUGAUUGAUUUUUUAGAAUUUGUUUUUCGAUUUAUUUUAAUCAUCGACACUACUAAAAAUGAAAUCACUUUAAUACUUAACUUUUGUGUUUUCUCGAUUCAAAGAACAUCUUUUUGCGAUCAUUUCUCUGUUUAAUUCAUUAAAUACUCACUAAAUAUUUUAGAUGUUAGAGAAACGAAAUUAAUUGACAAGAUAUUUUUUCUCCUAAAAUCAUGCAUUUAAAACGUAAUAUUUAUGGUGAGACUUGUCAACCAAAAUUCUGGUGCAAUCUAUUCACGAGAUGUUCUCCUUUAGCUUUAUUAACAAGAUAUUCCAAAAAUAAUAUUACCUUAUAAGUAUAAGAUUUAUUGAGAAUUUAUUAAAGAAUAUUCUACUUCUUAGCUUAUCAUGCAAGCUAAAUCAAUGAGAAACGUCUACCAAUUUACUAUAAAUAAGACAUUCACAGUAGAAGAAACGAAAUAAUUGAACUUUGUAUUCUGAACUUUUAAUGUUAAUAAUGUUCUGAACUUUUUUUUCUUCUUAUUUUAGAACAUUAAGCUUUUAUAUUUCAUGAGAGCUGAUUUUUCUUUUGGUUUAUAUGCAGAUACCCUAUUAUGACGAUUUCUCCACUGAAGCUAUAUAUGAUUUGAUUGUACACCUCUUUGAUAUAUCAUUUCGAUAACAUCUUUGUUCCUCAAUCUGAGAUGAUUUGAGAGAAGUGGUCAUAUUUCAGACCUCUAAGAGUUCACCAUUCCGAUCCUGCAAAAGAUGUGCACUUAGAAUGGUAUUUUCUCUACUGUACAUCAAAAUUGGAUAAUCAAUUAUAUUUUUAAAAUAUCUAUAGUAGGAUGGUAUUUUCUCUACUGAAAUAAUAUCUUAUUUCCUAAUCUCAUGCUUUAAUAUUUAAACUUUAAGGACAAGAUUUGUUAAUUAAAUCAUUAGUGUAAACUACUCCCGAGAUAUUCUCUUUUUUUAUAUUUAAAAUGUAAUUUUAGUAACAAUAUAUUCCAUAAAUAAUCCUAACUUAUAGGUAGAUACAUUUUUAAAAUUAAUUUGAGAACAUUCUAUUACAUAGCUUAUUGUGAAAGCUAAAUAUUUUAGUAAAGUCUAGCAUUUUACUUAUCUUUUGUGUUUUCUCGAUUCAAAUAACAUCUUUUUGAGAUCAUUUCUCUGUUUAAUUCAUUAAAUACUCACUAAAUAUUUUAGAUGUCAGAGAAACAAAAUUAAUUGACAAGAUAUUUUCUCUCCUAAAAUCAUGCAUUUAAAACUUAAUAUUUAUGGUGAGACUUGUCAACCAAAAUUCUGGUGCAAUCUAUUCACGAGAUGUUCUCAUUUAGCUUUAUUAACAAGAUAUUCCAAAAAUAAUAUUACCUUAUAAGUAUAAGAUUUAUUGAGAAUUUAUUAAAGAAUAUUAUACUUCUUAGCUUAUCAUGUUUUUAUCAAAAGAAAACGUCAGUAGAUCAAAUUAAUUUUUACAUGUUCUUUCAGGUUUGAGUUUAUCAGAAGAUCAAAUUAAGAGUUUAUCUUUGGCGGAGAUUGAAUCAAUCAUGCGUUUGAACGGAAGCUCAUUUACAUUGUUUAAGUUUUGAAACGUGUUAUCAAUAGUAUACUCUUCUAUUGGUUAAGAUGUGGAUUUUGUUAGAUUUUCUAUUAAUUAAUUUUUUUUGUUUUACUUUUGUGGAAUUCGCGAUAUUGUAAUGUUGUAAAUCAAUAAUAAAGACAUUUUUAGCACUGUUAAUAGGUGAGAGGGAGAGGGAGGGGGAGAGAGGGAGGGAGAGGGAGGGACGGGGAGAGAGAGAGAGAGAGAGGGAGGGAGAGGGAGGGAGGGAGGGAGGAGGAGAGAGGGGAGAGAGAGUGGGAGAGAGGGAGAGAGAGGAGAGAGGGAGAGAGGAGAGAGAGAGAGAGAGAGAUUAGUGUUUACGGUAUAUCCAAAAGUUUUGAGUUUAUUGUUUAUGAUUUAUCCGGUAAAGCCAAAGAGUUAGAGUAUACUCAAGGGUUUAAGGUUUACCAAGAGUUUAGAGUUUAAAAAUGAAUGAAUGUAAUUUGUAUAUUUUACAAUAAAAAAUAAAAACUAACAGCAAAGUAGAUUGCAUUAUAUCUUGAAUUAAAUAAUGUUAAGAAGAUUUAUAGUUUUCAACCACAAAUAAUGAAUCAUAACUAUGUGAUUAUUAUACCUAUAAUAUAUAUUAUGCAUAUACAUGUCAUUGUAUGUAAAAAUUAACUAACCAUGUAAAAUUAAACUAAUGAUAAUAUUAAUAUCCGCAUAUGCGAUAAAAUAUCCGCAUAUGAGAUAAAAUAUCCGCAUAUGCGAUACAAUAUCCGCAGUCACUCCAUAGAGAGCUGGAUAUUUAAUCGCCGAGUUAAUUGUUUUGAUAAGCUGACAGAGUCUGAUUCGAAAAUCACCGACUGCAAUUCGUAUCUUCUCUCUGCUCAACCCAUUUCUAACAUUAUUUAUUCCAUAUUUAUUACAUAUUUUGAACUUUUUAUUCCAUAUUUUGAAUUUUUUAUGUCCUUAAUUACAUUCUGAAAUGGUAAAAGAGGGUUUCAAUGGGAAUGUAGUGAUAAUAUAAAAUAUGUUACCUCUGAAACUAUACACUAUUUAUUCCAGAUUUUGAAAAUAAAAUAUCUUCUUAAACAUACAAAUUAUUUUGGAACGUUGCAAUUAUACGUACACACAAUAAAUACCUCUUGAUACUGAAGUUACUUUGUUCCAUCUCGUCCAUGUAAAAUAUUGAGUACCAACAUGUUUUUGUACCUGAUGCUUUCUCCCAAGGGCGAUGGUAUUAUGAUAUAAAAUUCGUUACUUAUAAAACUAUGUACUAUUUAGUUAAUAAUUUGAAUAUGUUUAUGUCCGCAUAGGGUGCGGGCCGGCCACCUAGUUCAUUAUAAACUAGUUGAUAAAUCUAAUUUUUCAGAAUUAUCCUAAACUAAGAUAAUAUUAUUAUUACUUUGGUGUUUCCCAAAACUUGUAGGACUAUGACUUGUAGCACCCUUUAUAUAUGAUGAAGAUAUAACAAACUAAGAAUAACUUCGAACAUUCGUACCCCCUGAUCUUCGGUACAAAUCAGAAAACUCUCACAGCAAAAAAAAAAAAACCUCUAGUUCAAAAACAAAGAGAUGUCGAUGAAUUAUCUUAUCCUCCGUUUUGUUUCGGUAUUUAGUAUGAUCAUGAUGAUGAGUAACACAGCCUUGUCGUACACAGGAAACGUGUUGAUCAAAAACUCCCUGCAAAACCAAAAGGACCUCAUAGUCCAUUGCAAGUCCGCGCACAAAGAUAUGGGAUACCAUAGGGUGCAUCCCACAGGAUCCUACAAUUUGCUCUAUAAACUUCAUUAUGAUUCAGAUUUUCCUUAUAACGAGAACAAUCAUAUAUGGUGCCAUGUAUGGCAAGGACAAGGUUUCAAGCAUCACCAAGUGUUUAAUGUUUAUGAUGGCGACCAUUGGGAAGCUAAAGAAGACGGAAUCUAUCACCAGUGGGCGUUGAUGUACGUUUGGGAUGCUGCUAUAUCAAAAGCUUCUUCGUUUGGAGCGAGUUGUAUCUCCUUAGGCUUGUUGUUAGCUUCUUCCUUGUUUUUCUCUUUUAUUUUCCCUACUCUUGUCGUUUAGUAAAGGUUAUUUUCUUUUAAUUUUCUGAUGAAUUUUGGAGUUUUUCUUUUAUACAUAUUUUUGUGUGUUGGAACUUCUACCGUCGAAAUCGUGAAGAGAGUUUAUUUCCCUGUGUCUUAAACGAGUUUUAGGUGAUGAUUGUUUCCAUUAGCUUUAUUUUUUGGUUUUUAAAUUUUGGUUUUAGAUUUUAGUUUUUGGUUUUAAACUUUGGGAAAAUUGCUAAAACGGAACAAAAAUUUAACAUGGUUGUCCCUUUAGUAUAAUAUCAUCUUUAAGUUGUCCUUUUAGUAUAAUUUUUUUUAUAAUUCCAAAACUAACCUUGAUUAAUCAAAUUAAACAUAAUUUAAAAGUUGAAUUGAAUUUUAAAAGUUUAAUAAAAAGGAAAAAAAAAGGCAUUUCACAAAGGCAAAAAAAAUUAAAACAAAUUAAAACAAAAAGGGAACA